rnacentral:sRNA from 1 species
AACUUAUCUUUGCCGAGUUCCCGCAAGGGAAACGGGGGAUCCAUUUUUGGGUGAAUUGACCUCGCAACAAAGUGGUCAUAGGGAACCUUCUCACCGAACCCUCAAGCUAACCUCGUAGGCACCGGAAGGGGCAUCU